AGGGGAGGAAAAAAGAAAAGAAAAAGUAGAAGUAGAUUUUUUUUAAAUUUUUUUAUUUAAUUUAAAACCAUCCUUCCUUUUCCUCCUACAAUCUCGUGGUUGCGUGCCAAUCUUAUGGAGCUUUAUGGUUCGUCGCCGCCACCUCCCAACAUCCCUCCCUCCGAUUUUCCCUCCUGAUUCUCUAUCCCAACCCUAAUUCUGCCCAGUUCUCCUUCCCGCAGCCAUGUUUCCCUGGCGGAACUUUGCCAAAUCCGCCGAGGCCACCUUCUCGCGGUGGGCCCUCAAGAGGGUUUGCAAGUUCUUCCUCAAGAAGAAACUUGGCCAGUUCAUUCUCGGCGACCUCGACCUCGACCAGCUCGACGUCCAACUCUCCGAGGGAACCAUUCAGCUCUCCGAUCUCGCUCUCAAUGUCGAUUUCGUCAACACCAAGUUUGGUAAGAAAUCAUCCAUAAUGAUCAAAGAAGGUUCAAUUGGCUACCUGUUGAUUAAAAUGCCUUGGAGUGGUAAAGGUUGUGAGGUUGAAGUGAAUGGGCUUGAAUUAGUAGUUUCUCCAUGCUUAGAUAAAAUGUCAACAAGUGAAGAUGAAACAUGUGGCAUGGAUAAUAGUAAUAACCAUCACCAUGGAUACAGCUCAACGAGGACUGAACACGGAAUAUCAGAUGAUGCUGAGAAGUUGGCUUCAAUGGAUGUUCACGAAGGUGUGAAAACCAUUGCAAAAAUGAUAAAGUGGUUGCUCACAAGCUUCCAUGUUACAGUAACAAAUGUAAUUGUUGCAUUUGAUCCAUCUGUAGAUAAUGUAGAAAAUAAGACACAUUGUCAUCAUACCUUAGUUCUUCAGAUUUCUGAAAUACAAUGCGGAACUAGUCUGUCUGAAGAUGCUGAUUUGAAUGUUGAUGUCCUUGGCAUAAGCCAGCUAACAAACUUUGUAAAGUUUCAUGGAGCAGUUAUUGAGCUUCUCCAAAUAGAUAAUGAGGAUUUCUACUUUCAGCAUGAAUCAAGUGCAGGAUGUGAUGAACCUGUUUUGGGGUCAAAUAUAGCAACAUGUCCAGUCAUGACCGGGAACAAAGGUGGAUUUAGUGGAAGUAUAAAAUUAAGUAUUCCUUGGAAGAAUGGCUCCUUGGACAUUUGCAAGGUGGAUGCAGUUGCUCAUGUUGAUCCCAUAGUGUUAAGAUUUCAGCCCAGCUCUAUUAAAUGGCUAUUGCAAUCAUGGGAAACUCUUAAGAAUCUGAAUAAGAAUGGAAAAGGUUGCACAAAUCACAAUGUAAGAGGAUCUGCCCAGUUAAAUUCUACAUUGUUACGGCAUUCAUCAACUUCAGUUUCUAUUGGCAGUGCUUCCAGUGAGAUUAUAACUGCCGAUGGCAGUUUGUCAGCUGAAUAUGCUUCUUUGAUCCAACCUGAAACCCUUGCUGAAGAUUUACUUCCUGCAGCUAAUGUUAUAUCUGAUUGGGUACCAUUAUCUACUCAUACCAGUCACAAUAAGGAUGGUAUUCAAGAACUUGAUUUUGGGGCAAGUGUGGACCAGUUUUUUGAAUGUUUUGAUGGAAUGAGAAAUUCUCAAUCAGCUUUAGGAAACAGUGGAAUGUGGAAUUGGACAUAUUCAGUUUUUAGUGCUAUUACUGCUGCAUCCAGCCUUGCUUCUGGAUCUUUGCAUAUUCCAUCUGAACAGCAACAUAUGGAAACCAAUUUCAGCGCAACUUUUGCUGGAGUAUCUGUUGUUUUGUCUUGCUGUGUUGAUGAACAGAAGAAAUUUUCUGACACUGAAAUUGGUCACAAGGAUGGGUUACAAAUUGAUUAUCUUGGUGCAGAGUGCAACAACAUCGUUUUUGCUUUGCAGGUAUGCCCUCAAGGCAUGACUCUAGAUGCAAAGGUGAGGCAUAUAGAAGUUGCUAAUUUUUGGAACAUUGGAGUUGAUGCUAAAAAUCAAACUGCUUUGGUUCAACACCUACAAGCUAAGGUCCUCGAUGCUCUCCCUUCUUCUACCUGUUACAAUAUAGAUUCACAUUCAUUAAUUGGGUCUGUUGCGACAGAUUUUCCAUUUGGAAACAAUGAUUGUUUGUUGAAAGUUACACUGUUUAGAACUUUUGGUGUCAUGAAUUGCAAAUUCUCUGUGCAAUCAAGUUCAUCUGAUGGUUGUCUCAUAGGAAACACAUCAUUCUCACUGAGCUUGCCCCCGUUUAGUUUUUGGGUAAUCUUUUCAGUAAUUAAUGUGCUCAUGAAUCUGCUAAAAGAAGUUGAGAAAUCACUUGGGAUGCAUAACAAAGAAAAGGAAAUUCUAUCUGAAGCCUUAGAUAUCAAGUGUGCACCAUCUCAGAGUAAUAUGAAGGAAGGUUCUAGUCCCUGUGUGAUAUCUUUCUCCCCAACACAGUGCUUGCAUGGUGAUAUAUCAAUAUCUAAUGCAAGAGUGAUAUUGUGUUUUCCUUUUGAAAGGGAUGGAGAUCAUAACAAUUCAUUUCCCUGGGAACAGUUCAUUGCUCUUGAUUUUACUUCAUCAUCACCUUUGAACAAUGGAUGUGCUCCAGUUUAUAGUCAAAGUUCAAAUGCAAGUUCGAAGAAAAGAUUUCCUUCAGUAUCUGCUCAAUCUCUUCAAUUGAGUUUCUGUGAUCUUGACAUCUACUUGAUCACAUCAAGUAAUGAGAAUGGUGGAAUCAUCUCCUAUGAUGUGCAGAAUGAGAAAUUUUCUGCUAGCUGCUUCUUUUCUAUUUUUCAUAGAAGAGGAUGUUUCUCUGUUUUUCGUGUUGUUUUGCAAGAGGGUAAAGUUACUGGUCCUUGGAUUGCUAAGAAAGCCAGAUUAUUUGCUAAUUCAGAGCAAACUAGGGGCAAAGAGGACACUGGAAGAAGGGGGGACGAGUUUGUGUCUGUAUCAACAGUGAAAGAUCUGGAAGAAUGGAAGUCUCAAACUCAACAAGAGAUGAUUUUAAGCUCAUCCUUUCUCAUACAUGUCCAUCUAUCUCAACUUGUGAUUAAUAUGAAUUAUUCUCAAUAUAAAGGCAUACAUCAUCUUCUACAUCAGACACUGAAUGCAUUGACAUGUGCGGCUUCUAAGCAAGCCAAUGUUGAAAAGGAAUCUUCUGUGUCACAAUCAUCAGUAUUUUUGGAAUGUGAUUCUCUUGAAAUUCUUAUUGAUAGGGAUACAUCUGAGAGAACCAAAAGUUCAAUCAAGAGUGAACUUCCUGGAAUUUGGUGUCAGUUCAGGCUGAAGGUUCAACAGUUUGAGGUGCUAUCGGUCACCAAUACUGGUGGCAUUAAGGCUGCAAAUUUCUUCCGGUUAGCUCAUGGUGAAGGCAAGUUGUGGGGGUCUGUCACUGGACUUCCUGAUCAUGAGUUUCUUCUGAUUACUUGUAGCAACUCCGUUGUGAAAAGAGGUGAUGGAGGAGGUUCUAAUACAUUAUCUUCCAAAUUUGCUGGUUCUGAAGUAAUUUGUCUCUCUGAUCCUGAGAUUUCCGUCGCUGUGACAUCCAUUACGGUCAGCUGUGGUACGGUUAUUGCUGUAGGUGGUCGUUUGGAUUGGUUUAAUGCAAUUUCAUCCUUUUUCUGUUUGCCUGCUUCUAAUACCGAAGGUAUAGGAGAUCAUAGUGUUUUAAAGGAGGAACAUAAUAACUCUCACACAACUUAUUUUGCUUUGUGCUUGAUCGAUAUUGCUUUAAGCUAUGAGCCUUAUCUGAAGAAUCCUGCAGUUCAGAGUGAACUGAAUUCAGAGUCUAGCUGUUCAUUUAUCAAAGAAGAUAUGAGUGAACAAUGUGUUUCCUGUUUGUUGGCCGCAUCCAGCUUAACUCUUUCAAAUUCAUCUUCAGCGGACACAGUUGAAAAUGUUUUCCAAAUUCGAGUGCAUGACUUGGGGCUUCUACUUCAUUUAAUUUCGGAACUGAAUUCUAUGUCUGACAUUUAUAGUGUUGAACAUCUUCAAAAAUCUGGUUAUGUUAAAGUUUCUCAGGAGGCUUUUAUGGAGGCAAUUUUGAAAACAAACUGUACUAGCAGUCUUCUUUGGGAACUGGAAUUAUCUAAAUCUCAUGUUAAUUUGGAAACUUGCUAUGACACGACUGCUGGUCUGAUUCGUUUGGCUGCCCAACUUCAGCAAUUAUUUGCUCCUGACGUGGAGGAAUCUAUCGUGCAUUUGCAGAAUAGGUGGCAUAAUGUUCAAAAGGCACAGCAAAGGAACGAAUUAAAAAUUGAAAACAAGAAUUGCAGAUUUGACUCAAUGUCUGCAAUAUCUGAACAAUGCUCCCCUCAUACAUUUUCAAUGGAUGGAUCUAGAAUAGCUGGCUGGAUGGAUGAAAUAUGUGAAGAUGCAUUUAAAGUAAACAACAAUAAUACACCCCAAUCUUAUCCUUUUGAAUCAGGGAUUCCACUUGACGGAAGCUUAAUUGAAGUUGGUCAGAUGAAUUUGCAUAAGCCUGAAGUUCUUUCUCAUGAACUAACUUUGACUGAGCCAGUGAGUGUGCCUGGACCUGAAGGUAGUGAUACUUCAUUUCUGCAAGAGGGUUGUUUUCCAGAGAUUAUAGAAAGCUAUUGUUUGUCUGACUUGCGCCCUCUCUCAGAGCUAUCUUUAGGUAUUCAUUGUGAUGAGCUUUCUAGACACAAACUGAGGAAUGUGGAACAUAAAGAGAUUGAAAGAGGAAGUGGUAGAUGGUAUGGAGGAACCUCUCUGAAAGUAUUAGAAAACCACAUUGCAGAGGAAAACAAACAACCUGGAAUGAAAAAGGCUGUAGAUCAUCAAGGCAUGCUUUCAUCUGAUGAUAGUUCAACACAUGGUGAGACUUGUGGACGUGUAAUUCUUAAGAAAAUUGAUAUAAGAUGGAGAAUGUAUGGUGGUUCUGACUGGCUUGACCCUGAGAAAAGUGGGCAGCAUUCUGGGAGAGACACAUCUAUUUGCAUGGAACUUGCAUUGUCUGGGUUGAAAUUUCAGUAUGAUAUAUAUCCAGUUGGUGGACUACAUGUAUCUAAGAUGUCUGUGUCUGUUAAAGAUUUUUAUCUGUAUGACAGAAGCCAUGAUGCACCUUGGAAACUGGUAUUAGGAUAUUAUCACUCAAAAGGUCAUCCUAGGGAAUCAUUUUCGAAAGCAUUUAAAUUGGACUUGGAUGCAGUUAGACCAGAUCCUCUUACUCCCCUCGAGGAGUACAGGUUAAAUGUUACUAUUUUACCUCUGCUUUUACAUCUCCAUCAGCGCCAGCUUGAUUUUUUUGUUGACUUCUUUGGGAGAAAAAACACAUUGAAGGGUCAGUUUCCUAAUAGUUCUCAAGAUUUGGAGGGUUCAAAAUCAUUGCUUGAGAAGACUAAGCAAGAUAAAGGUCAUGUAUUUCAUUCAGUUGCACCAGAGGCACUGCUUCCCUACUUCCAGAAGCUAGAUAUAUGGCCUAUUCUUGUUCGGGUGGAUUACAGUCCAACUCAUGUAGAUCUAGCAGCCUUAAGGAAUGGAAAGUAUGUAGAGCUUGUAAAUCUUGUCCCUUGGAAGGGGAUUGAGCUUAACCUCAAACAUGUUCAUGCCUCUGGCGUCUACGGUUGGGCCAGUGUAUGUGAAACUGCUGUAGGGGAUUGGUUGGAAGAUAUAUCUCAGAAUCAGAUUCAUAAAAUACUCCGGGGUCUUCCUACUGUACGAUCAUUGAUUGCAGUUGGGGCUGGUGCUGCUAAGCUGGUUUCAUCACCAGUAGAGAGCUACAAGAAGGAGCGGAGAGUGCUCAAGGGUGUGCAGAGGGGUACAAUUGCAUUUCUUCGAAGUAUUUCUCUUGAAGCUGUGGGACUUGGUGUUCAUCUAGCUGCGGGAGCCCACGACAUUCUCCUCCAAGCAGAGUAUAUUCUUUCAAGCAUACCUUCUCCAGUUCCACUGCCUGUAAAAGACAAAAUAAAAACAGAUGUUAGAUCCAAUCAACCUAAAGAUGCCCAAGAAGGAAUUCAACAGGCUUAUGAGAGCCUUAGUGAUGGCUUGGGAAAAUCUGCUGCCGUGUUAGUUCAGAGUCCCUUAAAAAAAUUUCAGCGAGGUUCAGGUGCUGGACCUGCUUUGGCUGCUGCUGUUCGAGCUGUUCCUGCUGCUGCUAUAGCCCCCGCUUCAGCUUGUGCAAGUGCUGUACACUGUGCUCUUCUUGGAUUCAGAAAUAGCCUAGAUCCAGAACGUAAAAAGGAGUCCAUGGAGAAAUAUUGUCCAGCACAACCCUGGGAAGAAGACUGAUUAAUGAUUCAGAAGUGUUUUUCUUUAAUUUGCUGGAUAGUCUCUUGUGUAUCAUAUCUAGAGUUACAGAACCAGUCAGAUGAUUCUUUUCUAUCAGAGAUUCUGAGUAACCUGCAUAUGCUGUAAAUAUGGAUGGUGCUUGUUAAUCUUAUUCAAACGGUUGUCAUUAUAGGUACUACGAGUGUAAGAUUUCUAUUAUUUCUUGCGAUGCUAGAAGGGCCUAUUUUGAUCUUUGGUUUCAAAUUCUUUACAACAAAAGUCAUGCUUUUGCUAGAAAGGUCUGUGCAGAAGAGCUGUGUUCCUUGGUGAACUUUUACAAUGUUGGGAUAUAAUCGAGCAGGAUACAGAUCUAUGCUAUAUGAUGUAUGGGGAUUUAGAUUCUGAAAUGUUUGAAAGUUGAGGUUUAAGGGUUAACGAAGGGAGGACAGGUUUCUCUUUUUUAAUAAAUAUUCUAUAGUUUAAUAAUUUAUAAAGUAAAAGUAAACUG